UUUUUUUGAGCAGUGUACAUUUGAAUUGAUUGCACAGAAUUCUGAAUCUCAAGCUCAAGAGGCAACCUCAGCCUUGAAAAUGCUGAUUCGCCUCAGCCACAACCUGUGGAGAUGGAUGACACUGAGGACAACGUGGGUUCCCCGAGCCAUGACCCUGUGCUUCAGAUGCCUGAACAUCAGUCAAGACCAACCACUACAGACACGGCUCAAGACUGGCAUCCAAGAAAAAGAAAACAGAAGGUCAACCAUCAAGAUGUGGAUGAAGAGCUGCUUGCAUUUGUCAGGAAGCCAAUCCCUUCUGCUGCUACCUCAGAUGAUGUGGAUGAGGUAUUUGUGCACAGCCUUGUGUCAGGAAGAAACAAGGGCACUCUGAAAAUGCAACUACUAUCAUUGAUUGUAAACUAGGAUGACCAGCAUGCAACACCUCUGCCACCACUUCCACCACCACAAUGGCUCUUUGAUGCUCUGCAUGGAAGAGUUGGACUGCAGCCUAUGAUGUACGGCCAGCCCAGGCAUCAAUACUCCUACUCACCAGGAUCUAUCUAACACAUAACUAGGAUGACCAGCAGGCAACACCACUGCCACCACCACGGCCUGCAAGUACUCCGCACGGAAAAGGUGGACUGCAGCCAAUCAUGUACGAUGAGCCCAGUGAUCAAUACUCACCAGAACUUAGGUCUCCAACACAUAGCUGGGAUGACAGCUUCAGUACAUUUUCUUAAGAGAGCUGGGUCCAAGAAUCCCAGUCACAUUGAUAAUCCCCUCCUAAAAAGACACAUCCCAUGUUCUGUUUUAGAGUUUUAAAAAGGGAAAGGUUUAUGUAUGCACUAUUUGCACUUCUUUGUUGUUGCAGUUAUAUUUGCAUUGCACCUUGUAUUUAACAUUUUUUUAAUCAUUUUUUGCUAUUCAGUGAAUAUUGUAAUUGGGAAGGAUAUGCCAUUUUUUGUUUACAUGCCUUGCUGUGGCUGUUCAUCUCACCUACAACAGGUGCA
rnacentral:lncRNA from 1 species